rnacentral:rRNA from 1 species
GACGAACGCUGGCGGCGUGCUUAACACAUGCAAGUCGAGCGGUAAGGCCCUUUCGGGGGUACACGAGCGGCGAACGGGUGAGUAACACGUGGGUGACCUGCCCUCAGCUCUGGGAUAAGCCUGGGAAACUGGGUCUAAUACUGGAUAUGACUCCACGGUGCAUGUCGUGGGGUGGAAAGCCUUGUGCGGCUGAGGAUGGGCCCGCGGCCUAUCAGCUUGUUGGUGGGGUGACGGCCUACCAAGGCGACGACGGGUAGCCGGCCUGAGAGGGCGACCGGCCACACUGGGACUGAGACACGGCCCAGACUCCUACGGGAGGCAGCAGUGGGGAAUCUUGCGCAAUGGGCGAAAGCCUGACGCAGCGACGCCGCGUGAGGGAUGACGGCCUGGU